AUGCUUAUGGUUAAUUUUGUUCUUGUUUGGUUUGGGUUUGGGUUUCUGUCAGGGUCUUACUGUGUAGCCCUAGCUGACCUGGAACUCAUUGUAUAGACCAGAUUGGCCUUGAGCUUACAGAGAUCCACCUGUCUUCUGCUCCUUGAGUGUUGGGAUUAAAGGUUUAUUACAUGGUGCCCAGCAAAAUUUUUUAAAUUUUUAAUUAGCAUGCUUCAGAAAAAGUAAUAAAGAGGGGCUAGAGGGAUGGCUUAGCAGUUAACACUAGAGGACUGCCGCAGACCCUCUGGGUCCCUGUGUCUGCGUGGAAUGGGGUCUCUCGAUGCGGGUGGGCAAAGCAUGGAUGAGCGACAAACAGACACACACAGGAGAAUUCGUGUGAAAUCUGAGUGUAAUUUUUAAAUCAAGCAUCAGACUUUUUAUGCAGAGGACAAUAAGGAAGUUGGGUGACAUAUUCGCAAGGUACAAUUGAGGUAACUGGAAUCUUACAUAAAACAGAGGAAUGCAAACACAAAAGGUCUAACAGGAACCACCUGGGAUAGAAUUUAUUGAUAACAGCUGGGAUCAACAAGGGCUCUACCCAAGAUUCACUAAUCUUAGAAGCCAGGGUCAAGGGCUUCGUGCCCUUGCCAUAGUUCCUAUUUUAGUCUCUUGUAUAGUCCACCUUCCCCUUAGGCCAUUGUAAAUACGUGUGUAUGGGUGUAACUCUGCUACAGUUUUAAGUAUCUAUUCUGGUUUCUCCUUUGGUCUGAAACUUCCUUCUUCCUUGGUGAUGGUAAAUUCCCGUGUAAGAGAGUGACUUAGCUUUUACAAUCUUACUGAAUUCCAAGCCCUUGAUCUUGGUCAAGGACAUUUCUAGGACUGUUGGAACACUGGUGAAAGGCUUUAGCCAUGUCAAAAUUCAAUUUUAAAAAGCACUUAUAAUAGGAUGAUAUUAAAAGAGAGCAUGUGGGUCCAUACACUAGACUAACUCGGGAAUGGAGAAUUAAGGGAACGCCAGGCUCCAGGAGGAGAAGUUCCUUAAAACUCUUUUGCCUCAUGAGUGACUUUUAAGCCUUGUCCAGCUGACUUGACCGAAGAGCGUAACGGAGGACAACCUAGGUUCCGUUUCCAUUUGCAUAAACACAUGUAGGGAAAAUACCAAUGCUUGUAAAAUUAAAAUCCAUUUAAAAAGAAGCAAGUAAUAAAGAGCGAGGCAUGUGGUGUAUGCCUUAUUCCUAGCACUCAGGAGUCAAAGGUCAAGCAAGUCUCAAUGAGUUGGAAACCAGACAAGACUACAUAUCAAUAUGUUGUCUCAAAACAAACAAAGAAAUAAUUUCAGUAAUACAAGAAGUCAGGCUAGUGUAGUACUGAGAUAACUGGAUUUCUGUUUUGUUAUGUUGUGUCUUUUGAGUAAUAGUUUCUCUGUGUAGCCCUGGCUGUUUUGGAACUCACUGUGUAGACCAAGCUGGCCUCGAACUCAGAGAUCUGCCUGAUGGAUGAUCCUGAAUGCUGGGAUUAAAGGCAUGUGCCACCACCACCUGGCAGUAAUUGGAUUUCUUGAGCCCAGGGAUUCAAGGGCAACCUGGCAAUAAGGCAAGACAAAGUAUCAAAAAAAAAAAGUUGUUUGUUUGUUUUUUAACACUCUAUCCAUACAGUGUUGUUCUUAAUUCACGGCUUUACUUU
rnacentral:lncRNA from 1 species